AAAAAAGUUUUUUUUAAAACUACUCAUUUUUAAAAAAGUAUUAAG
rfam:Loxodonta africana unplaced genomic scaffold scaffold_62, whole genome shotgun sequence.